rnacentral:rRNA from 1 species
UACGUAGGGGCGCAAGCGUUGUCCGGAAUUAUUGGGCGUAAAGAGCUCGUAGGCGGCCUGUUGCGUCCGCUGUGAAAUCCCGGGGCUCAACCCCGGGCCUGCAGUGGAUACGGGCUGGCGUAGAGGCAGGCAGGGGAGAACGGAAUUCCUGGUGUAGCGGUGAAAUGCGCAGAUAUCAGGAGGAACACCGUGGCGGAAGGCGGUUCUCUGGGCCUGUACUGACGCUGGAGGAGCGAAAGCGUGGGGAGCGAACAGG